UUCAGGCAUAAUAUUAUAUAAUAUUUUUAGUUUUAAGCCACUUAAGCCACGUUUACCUAUUUCCUUUCAUUUAUGAAGGUUCCAUGAGCUGGAAGAUAAAUACAAAGCAUAUAAUUUCAUAAUUAUCAAAAUCCACUGAGCAAGCAAGAGCCUGCUAAGUGAAACUUCGUUGAGCAAGAAAUGAGGUGGUUUACAGAAAGAAAACUCAAAACAAGUUGCAAAGGAAAAUAUACUUUUGCCAUGUCACACAGCCUUAUGUUCAGACUAUUGUCACCUUAUCUAUACACAUAAG
rnacentral:lncRNA from 1 species